UUCGAGUAAGCGCGGGUAAACGGCGGGAGUAACUAUGACUCUCUUAAGGUAGCCAAAUGCCUCGUCGGCUAACUACCGACGCGCACGAAUGGAUCAACGAGAUUCCCACUGUCCCUAUCUACUAUCUAGCGAAACCACAGCCAAGGAAUCCCCUUUAAAGUAAAUUAAUGUAAAUUUUGGAUUUCCUCGCUGGUUAAUCUUAAUUCAUUACAACUACUGGUAGCAUGAUGAAUCAUCAGGAAUUUAUGCCUGUACUCUGUUAGAAGUUGGUGAAGUGAUUAAUUUUCAAUGAGAUUAAAGCAUAAUUUGUCUUGUGCAAAGGAGAUUAUAAUUUGCUGGCUUGUCAUUUUAAUCUUUAAUCAUAUUUUCGCAAAGGGAUUAAAAUGGUGGAUUUUUCGAGGGGAUUUUUCGGCAUGUUUUUGUAUUUUUCGAUGUUUAAAAAAAAAAAAAAAAAAAAUUUCACUUGAUUGAGAUGACAAGCUAUACGUUGUAUUUGAUUAAUUAGUUAAAAAGAUAUCUGGUUGAUCCUGCCUGAACUGA
rnacentral:rRNA from 1 species